GGCUGUCCGAAGCAGGCGGAGGAUGUUGGAAUGGGUGUUGUUCAUAGUUGCUGUGGGGGAGUUCAUUGCUGACUGGCGUUCUUCAAUGGCCACACCAUGGAUGCAGCUGUAGAUACCCUGAAAUGAGAGAAAGAAAAGAGUUAAUGGCACUCACCCUGCUGAUGGAGAAGACUACACCAGGCUUGCCAGAGCAGACACCCAUGAAGCAGUGGCGGAAUUGCCAGUAGAAGAGAUGCUCACAGAUGAAGGUGAUGAGACUGAGGGCCAUGGCUGCUCCCAACAUGUAGAAGACACCUGCCAUGUUAUCUAUAUCCAGCUGGCUGCUCAUAACCUCAUUCUUCUCAUUGUGACAAAUGCCAGUGAGCCAGAGAGCUUCCAGCUCCUCCAUCUCCCCUAGAAUGACAGACAGGAGGAAGGAAACAGGUUAGAUAAUCCUGCAAUAGCUGAAGAGCUCAAACUGGGGCAGACUGAAAGCAAGAAGCUGAUCUAACGUAA